GCUGAGGAGAUGAGUGUGGCCAAAGCCCUGCCACUCCAAGGAACUUAGGCACCUGUCUCCAUUCAGGAUUCACAACCAUGACCCCUCUCCUGGAGCUGAGUACCUAAAUCAGGUUUCUAUCAGAGUAUUCUAAGAAGCUCUGAGAAGUUAUCCCAUUGCCUCAGCCUGGAACACAUCCACAUAGACAUGGUAGAAAAAUGGGAAAACAGUUUACUGAAAUUUCUAAGGCACCUCUUUAGAAGCCUCUUUGAUGCCUUGGGCUGCUCCUUCAGAAGUUUGCAUUUGAAAUCCCCAACCUUUUUGAAACCUAGAGCUUGAAGUUCCUAUCUAAUGCCCUCUGAGAGACCUUAAGAGCCUUCAUUUGAAGCCCUCUUGAAGCCUUUUUAGACCCCUUUCCUCGCUUCACCUUUGAAGAAAUACGUUGUGUUUGGCCAUCCAUUCUUCUAGAGGAAGAGUCUGGACAGUGCUGCACCUGACUUGAUCAGUGAAGACAGGAUGUAAUCUGCCUAGGAAACAUAAGAACUAGCCUCAGAUUUAACCUAAUUUCCCCGCUUCAAACUCAAACUGAUCUCAUUGAAGGUAGGAGGCAUACUGGGGAAAGGAAGUGAAAUGGACAUAGGGCUAGCUGUGAGUGAUUCAAUACCCUCUUUGGGGCAAGGGAAAAUUAGUUGGUAUUGGAUAUCAAUAGUUAAGAAGAGGGGCGGGAUCAGAAAAAUUGGAUUAGAUUUAAAGAAGGAUAAUUUGACUGGAUGGGACGAAAUAGGGAUAGGAUUAAAAAUAGGGAAGAAGCCUUAACAUUUUCGAUUGCUUAAAAUAUAUAGAGAGCAAGGCAGGAAAUUAGAUUUUUUUUUCCCCAUCCCAGGAAAACACGAGAUUUGGAAAGAUGUUCCUGUCCUGAACUGGGGGGGGGGGGGGAAAGCAAUUUUGAAAAUUUGCAUAUACUGGAAAUCUGCAAACAAAACUAACCACUUGGUUCAGGUCAAUCGAACCAUUUCAUUUCGAUUUUUCACCUUUUUAAAUGUUCACUAUAAUUAGCUUAACUUUUUAAAUGAAAAGUAAUUUUGAAGCAGGAA